GGAAUGGAUGGCGGAAGUGGUCUCUCUUGGAUGCUCCACAGGACCAAGAUCUUCCUGUGAAGCCAUUUGCGCAACCAGGCGUCGUCAGAGUGUAAGAUUCUCAACGUCCCACCACAGCUUUGCACGGAAGGCGAUGGUCAGAGUAUUGAUUCCAGACAUGGAAGUAGCUGGCUCGUCCGGAUUGUGAAUCGUGGGAAGGAGUCUAGUCUCGUGAAAGGUCGCGUUUCAGCUAGCCUCGUUCUAUGCAGUCAGAAGAGCUUGACGGUGGUUUACUGGCCGGAUAUUUUCAGGGACACAGAAAUCUUGCCUGUGGUGGCUAUGCCGGAUGACAAGCUUCUUCAGAUAGAUGACAGAUAUGGUGGAGCUCCCGGACGGAGGUCUGCUUCGUCGUCGUAUGGUCCUCGAGCAGAUACAGCCGGUGAAGUCACUCAUCGCCACAGGACUUAGAAACCUGGAAUGCGUAGCCAUCGCCAGCUGCUUGGGGAACUUAUGGAGGUUCGACUGCUCCGUGUCUGGGAUUUCCUGGCGGUCUGUAAAUGCUGAGGUUCGUGGGGAGAGCGACAACUUUGGGCCUUUCGAUUUCAACAACAGUGGCAUAGUCCGUUCCCUCGUGUGGUGGUCACGGGAGGAGCUUUUACUGCUGACUCCCAGGGGGAUCGAGUGCUGGGACGUGCAGUUAGUGAAAGGUGGUCAGCUCUCAAAGGCCUGGGCUUACGAUAUCUCCGAAGACGCGGAGGUUUUAAAGGAUCUAACGAGUCAGAAACAAGUGUGGCUUCUCGAUUUGCAAGUUACUGCGGAGAAGAACCUGACGGUGCUAGCGGCAUCUUUAUCCAAGGAUCGAGUCACGAGCUCCAGUUACAUGCAGUACUUCAUGCUCACUUUAGCUCCAGCACGAGUUAUCUUACCGAAGGCUCGAGUAGAGGUGGAGGAGUUCUGUAUUCGAUGCAGCUCCGAGUUGGUGGAAAGCCUGCCGGUUCAGCCAUGGUUCUUGCAGGUGAUGGCACCGCAACGAUCUCUCAUUACUUACACGGCGUUGGUCGGCUAUACCAGUUCGAUCUUGCAUGGGAUGCCGGCAGAGUUUUAGACGCUUCUGUGGUACCUUCGGUGGAUGACAGCGACGAAGGCGCUUAGCUUGUUUUGACCGAGAAAGCAGGAGUGUGGGGGAUUCCUGAAAGAGCUGUGCUGCUUGGUGCUGUUGAGCCACCGGAAAGGAGCCUCUCGCGGAAAGGCAGUGCUAAAGACGAGUCCGUCAAGGAGCAGAGGCGACGAUUAGCAGUCGAAAGCACGGAUGGUGUGGGAAAAGUCCUGACAAGGAAUUCCACUCAACGUCUUCUCCAAGAUGAAGAAGCAGAGGCAACAGUCGGUCAGCAAUUUCAACAUUAUCUGACUACUCGGCAAGUGAUCGCGGUCUUUGAGAAGCUACAGAAGACCGGAGCAUUCGAUGACGAAGGCGAAAUGAAUAUUUUCGCUCGCUUCAGCAAGUCAAUUGUCGAUACAAUAGCCAAGCAUUGGGCUUCGGGUGGAGCUGGAGGUGCAGCCACGAUGGCCAUUACUUCGCAACUUACUGAGAAAUAAAAGCGCCAUCAACAGUAUCUGAAUUUUCUCGCAGCUUCUAAAUGUCAUGAGGUCCUUCGGCACCAACGAAGGAGUAGUCUGCACACGAUCCUGGAGCAUGGUGAGAAACUUGCUGCGUUGCUAAAGAUCAAGGACACGUACAACUCUCGAGCUCCUGGCCAGAGCCGUGGUGAAGCAGAAGAAGCUGAGAUUACUGGAGCUCUCUGGGAUACAAUUCAGCUAGUCGGAGAGAAAGCUCGCAGGAAGAAUGUGAAGGAAAAGAUGGAGGUGUUUCUUACGCGGGGAUCAGACAUAGAAGAGCUUUUCGGUUGCAUCAAUGAACACAGUCAAGCUAUAAUCGGGCAGGAGAUGUCACUGAAGUCACAAACCGAACGCUUAUGCGAGGUUGCCGACGCCUGCUCCUCUGCUGUUAGAGCUGGCAUUCAGUACAGAGAUACACAACAGACAUGGUAUCCGUCGCCAGAGGGCUUGACGCCCUGGUAAACAGUGCGUUCCCGAUUAUGGCGACUGGCGACUCAUCUUAUGGACGUCCAGUCAAAGGAAAAGGUGAUGGUAUCUCUUGCUGAUAUAGCCGAUGUUCUUCUCGAAGGCUAUGCCGGUGCUAUUUUGGCCAAGAUAGAGCGCGACGAGGAGUACCGAGGCUUGCAACUCGAGUACUGGAGCAGACGUCAUAGCCUUCUACUGACUCUUUAACAGCAUGAAAGAGAAGCAGCCGAACUGGCUUCUCAGCACGCUGAAAGCGCCGACGCGGGGGAGCAGAAACGGCUGGAAGUGCUGCGAGAUCGGUAUUCGUCGCUUUUGGCCGUCAUGCAGGCUAUCAGACACUUUGGGAAAUAUGCAUCGAUCUCAAUGACAUGGAUUGCCUGCCCAAACUUAUGAGUUUGCAGAAGACCUUGCGUCCUUUCUUCGGGACAAGAAAUCUCUUUCCUGGCUCCAUGAUUUCUUCCUCAAGAGAUUCACUGCUGCGUCAGAUACCAUCCAUCACUUGGCUCUCUCGAGCAGCGACUUGAAUAUCCCGAUCAUUCAGGACGAAAAACCGACGUCCGGUUUUACUCUAUCUGCCCGACGAAAGCUUUUAUAUCUGGCAGAACUGUCGGCACUUGCAGGCUGGAAGCGUGGAGCUGUUGACAAGUCGAUUCAGAUCGAAGCAGAUCUUGGAAUUUUCGCUGUUCAGGAAGCUGCUGCUGAGUUGGGGAUUGCAACUUCUACCGAAGUUCUGUCACCGCUGCAGCUCGUCGAAGCGUGCCUGAACAGUGGCCACAAGGAACUGGUUCUACGUUCUCUGGAGGUUUUCGCGCUGUCGGGAAUUUUUUCAGAAGAGGGAACAAGAGCCUUUUGGAGGCCGCAUGGCUGAAGCUUGCUGAUCAAGACGACUGGCUGAAAAUGAGGCAGCUCUCGGACGAGGAAUGCUGGAAUGACCAACAGCAGUACGAAGCUCUCAAGGCAACUGCCCUCUACGCAACGUCAAAGUACUGUUACGGGGGCUCGGCGUUUGUAAUUGGCACACCGUUCGAGGAGACUCUACCACUUUUUCGAGAGAUCGACGCCAGCAGUCGAAGGGCCGAGCCAGACAGUGCAAGCUCGGUGAAUGAGGUGCUGGCGGAGCACGAGGACUUUCCGGAAGCAGGGGAAGCCAUGGUGAUGGCGCUGAGGAUGGGGAAAGGACUGGAGCUUGUAGCUGAGGAGGACAACAGCAUGGAAAUGUGAUAACGUCCUCGGGGAACUUGCCACCGGUCAUCUUUGAGACAACUUUGAAGCGAACUUUCCUCGAUAAACAACAAGCGUCGACGAAUUUUCCUGCUCACCAGCUCUCACCUAGGAUCACCGCAGGCCCAGGCCAGAAAAUCCAUGCGUCGUCGGCCCAAACCUCUCUGUCUCUCAUCUUUGUAUUGACACCAUGAGAUUCCAUGGCUGGAUAAUACCCUCCUGCUUAUGAAUAGACAAUCUUGUGAUGAGCAGUGCAGAGAUUAUCAUUAUCAUGGCCA